CUCCAAUCACAUUUGACUAAUUUUCACUUUCAGUUUUUAAGAUUAUACUCCAUCCGCCUCAAAUUCAAUGUGUUUUUUAUUUUACACGCUACUUAAAAAAUAUUAAUUAGAAGGGGUAUUUGACUAACUUUACCCUUAUUUAUUUUUAAGUUAUAAUCUUUAUCCAUGUUUACUCAAUUUAUAUGUAAUCUACAAAAUUCUACUAAAAAGUAAAUCGAGAAAAAAUAAUUAAUUAUGUCUGAAAAUUCUAAAACGAUAAAAUAAUUUGAGACAACUAUUUUUAGUAACCACCACAAAUAAUUUGAAACGGAGGGAGUAACUUUUUGCUUUGUAAAAGACCAAAAACAGCAAUUUUUUUGACUUAUUCUUCGUAGGUCCUCUUGUAUAAGUAAAGCAAUUGCAGCUUUUCCAAAAAUAUUCUAUUUCUUCUUUUGUCUGUAGCCAGCAUAAUGGGAGCUUUAAAAAGAAAAUGUUUGGCUGUUGGCAUCUUUCUCUUAAUAUUGUGAAAGAAAAGGAAAAAAUUAAAGUGUUGAGAUGUUACAGUCAUUCACAAAUCUUGAGGUCCACAACAUUUUAUGGGGUGGAUGUGCAUAAAUAUUGAGAACUUUCUUGAAUACCCAGGUGUCCUAGCUGGCUUGUGCUUAUCUUGAUUAAUUAUUAGUUUUUUAAAAGGUGGUGCUUUGAAAAUGUCUUUCAAUAUUUUUAUUAAGCAUAGGAGGGCUUUUUAAAUAACCAACUUAACAACAAAUUAUCUGUAUCAAAUCUCCAGGAUAAUUUCAAAAGCCUAAAAUAUCUCAACUACCUAAACAAAUCUAAUAGAAAAAUAAAAUUCAUAGUCAUCCUAAAACUAAGCAACUUAAUAUGCUAAAAGUUAGUGCAGUAACUGUAGUAAAUUUCAACACUCCUCCUUUGAGGUGCAAUCUAAAAAAUUGCUCCUCCUCAAUCUUUGCUUCGAUAGUUGGUGUUGAAUCUUUUGACUGCUUUUGAACUUGCCCACUUUUUUUUAAUCUCUUUUUUUUAAUCUCUUUUUUUUUUUUUUUUUUUUUUUUCCUUCUUUUGAUUUUGUGCAUAAAAAUCACCCUCAAUAACAUUGUUUUGUCUAAAAAUUCUUUUGAAAGUACUUUAAUCUGGACAAUUGUAGGAUUUGUAAAAAGUUGUUGUAAGAAUUUUUCUUCCAUCACAACAUCCCAUAAAUUAUAGGUUUCAAGGUAUGAUUUCAAUUUUACUGACCAAAUCUGAUAGUUUUCAUCAGUGGAUUUUUGUUGGGGCAUUCAAAGAGAGGUUGUUGCUUGACAUGUUUGAAAAAGGUUUAAACUGAUAUUGGUUAAAAGUCGGUAUUGGUUGAAAAUAGUUAUGCCUUAAAAGUAAGCACGGGUUGAAAAUAGGUAUUGGUUAAAAAUGGUUUUUGAAAAAUGGUUCUUUAGAUGAACUCACAGAUCUCAUAAGAUGAAUGAGGCUCUUAUAGUUGAUAUCACUGUUGGUUUUUAAAAGAUGGUGCAGUAAAAGUUGAAAAGUAUUGAUUGAAAAUGUGUCUCAAUAUUUUUAUUAAGCAUAGGAGGGUUUUAAAUAGCCUACUUAACAACAAAGAAUCUGCAUCAAAUCUGCAAGAUAAUUUCAAAAGCCUAAAAUAUCUCAACAACCUAAACAAAUCUAAUAGAAAAAUUCAAAUCCAUCCAAAAACUAAGCAACUUAAUAUGCUAAAAAUUACUGUAUUAACUGAAGUAAAUUUCAACACUAAUUUUACAAGUUACACGACUUGGACAGGUAGGACGAAAUCACUUAGUGUUUUUUGUAUUCACUCGAAUUUGAACCUCAUACUUUUCAUAUUUCUUCAUUGACCACUAGGACCCAUCGUCGGUGCAUAACCUAACUCGUAUUACAAGAUGUUUCUUCAAUCUGUGAAUUUACUCCAUCUUUUACUUUGCAUUGGCUUUACAAUGCGUACGGUACAAUUUUCAUUUGUAGGUUAUCCAUUUAAACUCAAUUCCUCCCCAGCUAAACACUUAUGGAACUCAUAAACAUGAAAGUGACGUUUGGUUGCCAAUUAGGUAAACCAAUAGUAUCAGUUCCAUUACAUAUGGAUCUUCAAAAUUGCUGAAAAUAUAGUUGAUGAACCAAAAAAGAGUAUCACUUAGAGUAUUUGGUGUUCUAUGAUCUCAUGGGCCUUUACUUUUGCAUUUGAAUCAGAUCAAUGUCGUGCCAAGAAAAUAUACCUUAGCUAUAACACGUAGUUGAUUAAGCAUAACAGAAGGAUACUAGCGAUCACACAAUUCUCAUUAAGAAGCAUGUCCAUUUGAUGUGCUGCUUUUGGAGAUGCUAAAUUAUUAAUCCAAUCUUUGCUAAGAUGUUAAUUUGCUAGCAUACCUCUAUGAGCUCUGGACGAUUUGGAUGGAAAGUUUAGUUGGUUAUUGAGGAAAAGGAAAAGAAA